rnacentral:rRNA from 3 species
GGACUACCCGGGUAUCUAAUCCCGUUUGCUCCCCUGGCUUUCGCGCCUCAGCGUCAGCAGAGGUCCAGCGCGUCGCUUUCGCCACCGGCGUUCCUUCCGAUAUCUACGCAUUUCACCGCUCCACCGGAAGUUCCACACGCCCCUACCUCCCUCAAGACCACCAGUAUCCGCGGCACUUCCCCGGUUGAGCCGGGGGCUUUCACCACGGACUUGAUGACCCGCCUACGCGCCCUUUAAGCCCAGUGAUUCCGAACAACGUUCGCACGGUUCGUCUUACCGCGGCUGCUGGCAC